AAGUCCUAAGUUGAGAAGGGGGGUUGAGAAAUCAGAAAAAGAGUAUUACCCUUAAAGCCAUCUGCACUGGACACAGGAUACCAUUACUAUGAUUUCUAAAUGAUUUAUCAAUACUAUCAAUGGACAGCUUUGGACAAAACUGCAAAAGAAAGUUUUGAGCCUCCAGAUUCACCAAAAGGGUUUGUGCGUCUAUCAAAAAUGAAAACAUUAAAGCAGGAGUCAGAUGACAGGAACCAUUCAUGGACAGAGCAGUAGUCUUAUGCUGUGUCAAAUACCAAUGUGUAAUGAGUUCACACACUUGUCAUCUGGAGGAAUAAUGUAUCAGGAACCAUGAGGAGAAGCAAUUCUAUCAGGAGCGAGACAUAACUUGCUGUAUUUGAGGUUCCACAUUAUAGGGAAAAUACCAGGUAUUAUUGUCCUAUUGCUGCCACAGAAAGUUUUGCUCUUUUUUUUUUUUUUUUAAUAUUUGAAUUAAGCCCAAACCAAAACCUUGGUAAUGUUUGAAAAGCUAUAGUUUCAGGGGAGGAAAUUUCACAGAACAGCUUCAGGAAGCACAGCGAAAAACCAGGCCCUUUCAGUACUCCAUAGGAGCACCCACUUCUCAUCACUGUCAAGGUGUUGAAUUACUUACUCAAGAGAAGCCCCAGGUUUGUUUCAAAUGCAGCUUUCUCAAAACAUCAUGGGGUUUUACUCCUAGAGAGUCAAGAGAAACAUGGCUAUUUCUGGCUCUCAGAGACAGAAUUACUAUCAGUUACAGAGAAAAGUGAAAAUACUCUAGGCUUCCAACUCUGCAUUUUUCAAAAACAGUAAAGGAAUAAGCAUAGGAAAUAGAGACAUUUUAUUUAAUAUUUGUAGAGGAAGUUACCCAUUCUCUUUGGCUGAUUGGUAACUGAAAAGCUACUGGCAAGGGUUCAGUAUAGUUCAAAUUAGGUUUUUUAUGGGAUUAAUCAAAGUAUUACCUUGAUAGUUAGUGUUCUAAAAACAAAUUUCAGAAGUAUGAGAAAAAAAAUCGUUCAGUUACACAUACUGACUGCCAUAUUUUAUCAAUUAUCAGAAAUGCUUUAACUAAGAGAGAUCUAGUUUAAAGUAAUAAAUUUUUUCUAGAUUGAAGCCAAGAUGGCAUAGCUACAAUGUUUAGAUAACAUGGACUCAAUCAAGAACCAUCCCAUUAAAGGCUGACCUGUGUAAUUAUAGUAAAAGCAAAUUCUUUCUACCAGCAUCUUCUAUUGCUCAGACUUUUCUUGUCGUUUAAUACUAAACUGGAACAGUAAAUACAAAAUCUCACAAGAUCUCUCAAAAGGCAAAAAUAAAACUUAAAUAUAUGUCAUCAGUAUCAGAAACCAAGAAAAGAAAAGUACUUCUUUUUUAAUAACAAACAUGUUACCUAUCUGUAGAAACACUGCAGUUCUUUAUUGAAGGCAAUGGUUAAUUGAAAAUACUGAGCUCAACUCUAUCAUUUCUGCUAUGAAAAAUAUUAUUUUCUAGACGAGAACUAUAACUGAUGACAUCACAGAAUAUUCUGAGUUGGAAGGGACCCCCAAGGAUCAUCGAGUCCAACUCUCCAGUGAAGGGCCCAUACAGGGACUGAAUCCACAGCCUUGGUGUUACUGGCACCCUGCUCUAACCAACUGAGCUACACCAGGCUCCCACAGGAGCUCAGCCAAGUCUUAAACUUUACAUUUCCUGCAAUACAGUUCAAGUCUAUUUUAAAUCAGUGUAUUAUGAAGGAUCUAGUUGGCCACCUGCUUAUCUUGCUACACCAAGCAACAAUGAAAAGAAAACUGUGGAAAAAAGGAAAAAAUAAUUGCGUAUUUAUAAUUUCAACUCUUACAUCUGUGAGAUGUAAUUCAAAAUUCAAAUAUUUUCCUAGAGGCAGGGGGAUAUAACACAUAUUUGUGACAAGAAUCACAUAAAUUAGUUUUAAUAUCUUUUAGCUGCUUUUGUUGUUAAGAGCAGCUGGAUCUGCAAAUACAUUUGGUUCAUAUCUGAAUUCUAUAGAUAUAGCUCUAGAAAUGCAGUGAUGAUUUACAUGUCUUUGGUUUUUAGUACAUCUCCCACUCAAAUAUAACAACAAGCAGGAGAAAAUGCUUUUAUGUUUUGGAUGAACUCUUAAGAUGAUUUGAACUUGUCUGUAUGUGAAAUUACUCUAGAAGCCUAGACCAUUUUCACUCACCUUUCAGCUUAAGAGGAGUGUCAUCGUAUGCCAUCAUCACCUGGAGGCAGGGCUACCAAAUUUCUCUUGAGUUUCCAAGAGGAAAUAACCCAAGCUGCUGGGUGAGCAAGCAAUAGGAAAGGAAAAUACUUUGUGAAACCAAAAGUUUAAAAUAAAUCAAUAAAUAAAAGCAUUGGCUCUUAAAGCAAGAAAAGCUGCUGCAAAAUAGAAAACUACACCUUGACUCUAGUGAUGUAAUUAAGCCUUUUUUUACAAUUCCAUUUAACAAUUUAACAAAUUGUUUUGCUCCACUGGCCACUGCAAAAUUUGUGGCAUCAGUCAGGAAAAAGGCAAUGUGUGUGCUGGAGCUGUAUCUUAAAUGUGGUUUUCUUGUUUGUUUGUUUUUGAAUUAGUAACAUUAACUUUAGGGAUUUUUUUCCUUCUCACUACAUUUCCUACCUGCCUGAUUGCCCUGAUGACUUUGCUUGGCCAGGCAGAUCUUCACUGACAGGAGAUAUUAUGUCAAAUUGGAUGGGAGUGUCAGGGGCAACAAGGGAAUCCAAGGAAAGUGCUGAGAGAGUUGCUGAGUCAGAUCCCAGUGACCCUGAGCUGCUGGUACGAGCUGCAGGAGGACGAGAUUGUCUACAACGAAAUCAAAAAGGCAAAGUUAGGUAGCUCUGAAAAACAGCUGUGGGACUUCCUUAGAGGCACAGCUCCCUCCUGUGGACAAUGAGCUGCACAGAAUCCAGAAGCUCCUUCCAGAGGUAUUUUGGUUAACAGAGUGUUUUGCCUUGUUUAGAUCAAAAUGACAAUGUUUUAUUAGUAAUUUGAAUCCCCAAGCUUUAACAGACACUUCUAGAACAAUCCUGAUAGAUGGAUCUUGUUACUUCCCAGUUAGGAUGCAGAAAAUUACACUCUCAAACCCUUUUUUUUUAACUGUGAAAAUUCAGUAAAAUUUAGACUAACAUCAGGAUAAUUAUGCUUUGCACCUGAAUGAGAUUAUAUCAGUGUAACAAUGAAUUUAAUACUAACUAGGUGAAGAAGGCCAAAGAAAAAAACAGACUAGCUCUUAUGUGACUUAUUCAGCUAAAUUUAUAAAACCAGCAUAGCUAACAUCUAAAAAAUUUUUCUAGCUUCUUUAGCUUUCUUUUCCCCAAAUUAAAUACUCUGGAAUUUUUAAAUAACAAGUUACUCUUACUUUCUUGCAUUGAGAUAGCCAGCUUUCCGUGUCAGGUUCCUAUGGGCAGGAAAUUUGGUAGGAUCAGGAUCAGGCAAAUACAGUGGAUCACUGGCUACUUCCAAGUCCUCUAUAGUUUGUUGCAUGUUUUCUACUUCACAAUCCAUUUCCCUGCGAACACUAAGAUAAAAAAUGUGUUAUUAACAAAGAUAAUUUAUUAAGAAGUAGAAAUAGAAAAAAACAAUUUUCAUAAAAGUUCAAAAUUCAACGAAGCCAACUUACUUCUGUACACUUGUGCCAAUAUUGGUCAAAAAUUCUUCCAGUUGCUCAGUAAGAUUUUCUGAACCCAUUUUAAAAAAGCUUAUCUUUAAAGAAACAAGGAUGAAAAGGGAGAAUUUAGUCAUUAAUAAAACUACACUAACAAUUAACAGAUGAAGUCAUAGGAGACUGAAGUUUCUCAGAGAAAUCUGUUUUCAUCCCUCAUUCCCAUCAAAGCCUCUUACUAAAAGCAGCAGAAUGUGUGUUUGUGGCUGCAGGGGAAGGCUACUGCUGGCACUGCAGUGGCAUUUGUGUCACAAGGACAUGAACAGAGCUGCCUGGAGGAAAUACAGAAGCACACAGGAACUGCCCUGGAAACACUCCCAAGGUCUCUCUGUCCUUUUUCAAUGUCACCAUUCUGCUAAAUCUUGUUAUGGGGGGGGUUAUUUGGGGCACAUAGGAGAGAACCUGUGAGGAUUUGUCCAGGGCCAUCGACAGGGAACUAACAAUAUGUAUUUUAAGCACAGAGUACUCCAUAAUGGGCCAGAAAAUCUGCCACAGCUAAAUUGAGGUUACAACAGGAAGCCCUGGGACAUGGCCCUGCCCUUCUGCUUCUUAGAACCAAAGCACCAGGUUGCACUUACUUUACUGCACAAAACAUGCAGAACUUGGCUCUUAAAUACAAGCUGCAAAGUUUCAAAAGAAAGCAAGAGUUCUUGCCUUUGGAAAGCUUUCAGACAGUGUGCAGAAGUUGAUUUCUACUUAGGUCACUGUAGCAGUGCCAGAUGCUGGAACGCUUGACUUGCAAAAAAACCCAAAGCUCAUGCUUAAUAACUUACUUCCAAAAAUACAAAUUAAGUCUGUCCAAAUAACUUUAUCAUAGUUCUAGUUUCUGUUGCACCCAUCCUCAAGUAAACCAAUCAUGUACUUACUAAUAUUAAGCAAAACCAAAGCAGAAAGUUUUUUAGCAUUCUGGCUCUUCCACAGUCUUGACUGAAAACAGUAGUUUUGUGGCUUUUGAUGAGUAUCUCAUUUCAGAACAGCUGCCAUAGGAAUGAGUUUAACUGUCUCCAUGUUAUUUGCUGAGAAGCUUCACUUCUACGUGCACUUGCAUGAAAGCUCUAAUUAGUUCCUCCAUUUGGUGGAAUCAAGUGCCCAGCAGUGAAAAUCUAGGGACUGCAUCAAAUCCAGCCAUCUGAGUUUUGGGGAAAAAUUAACCUUUAUAUUUGUCACCCAGACUUUGCUAGAAGACUCUGUGAUGGCAGUGAGGGCAUGUCAUGAAGAGAUUCCUGCAGUGAGUGGGCCAUGACCAGUGCUAACUAAUGGCACCAUCAGGGCAGCAGCUGUGGCAGCUCAGAGAAGUGGAUGAGUGGGUCUUUUUCUCCAUUUCCUUCCUUGGACUGCAGAAGAGGGCUUGCAAUGGAUUUCAGUACAUCAAACUUCAUGAAGUACUUUUAUUUCUUCUUUCAGACCUACAGCUUUCAGAAUCUGAAAUUACCUGAGCUUGCAUGUAUCCUAGCAAGGGUUCUAGCAGAGAAAUUUUCUUUUUGUACUGGAGAGUAUUUAAUGCACAGAAAUAAUGCAUCAUAGUCUGAUGCUGUUUUUUCCUUGAAGUAUAUACAUCUUCUGUAACUUCAGCCUUGAUCUGAAGAGACACAGACAAGGGGAGGAAAAAAAGGAAAGUUUGAGAUUGACAUUGAUCACAUGCUUCUGGACAGCUUUAUAGCCAGCAUGGAAAAACCCACAGUCAUGUUCUACCCUCUAUCACCAGCUGCUGCAUAAUUUACUAUUCUACUUCUCUAAUUUAAACAUGAGAUAUGUGAAAAACAAAUACAGCAUCAUUUUCUACCUGGAAA